rnacentral:lncRNA from 1 species
CUUCGAAGUACGGUAAUGGAAUAUUUAGAUUUUUUUUGUCACGAAACGCUUUGUGCGCGUCACCCUUCUUUACCCUUUCGGAUAGUGUCUUGAACGCACGAACAAAACGCCGCUAUUUGGAUAUAACUAUGGAUUAUUUUGAACCAAACCAACAUUUGUUAUUGAAGUAGAAGUCCUGGGAGUGCAUUCUGACGAAGAACAGCAAAGUUUUCCCGGUUUUGUCCUUUCUGCCUGCCCUGACCCUGAGCCUGCCUGCCGUCUGGUACAUUUGCCCCACUACUCUGGAAUACCUACCUCUGCCUGACCCUGAGCCUGCCUGCCGUCCGGUAGCUUUGCCCCACUACUCUGGAUUACUGACCUCUGCCUGACCUGACCCUGAGCCUGACUGCCGUCCAGUACCUUUGUCUGCCCGUGUUCGUAUUAAUAAACCUUUGUUAUUUCGACAUUGUCUGCACCUGGGCAUUACCUUCAAACGUGAUAGAUUUGUAUUGGUAUGAUAUAAACAUGCUGAAUAAAUGGCUAUUAUGUUAUUUAGUAGGAAAUAACAUUCAUUUGAUGAGAAGAUUUCCUGUCCCUCUUUUGCAUGUACAUUUUGAAGGUGCUAUGCUCAUAAAACUAUAUUUCCUGUCCCUCUUAUGCAUGUCCAUGUUGAAGGUGUUAUGCUCAUGAAACUAGGACAGUUGGUUCAAAUAUCAUGAAAUACCAAUGGAUUCCGUCCGAAAUGUCAAAAUAUAGCUAUGGCACUCAAGUGUAUAGUGAAUGUAUGGUGUUGAAUUAAGUUGCUAAGGCCUUUUGACCUAUUCCUAAUUGAUAGACAAGGUGCAAUACUGGGUUAAUCCCAGCAGCCUAUAAACAUACAGAAGCUUUCUAGAUCUAUAUCAGGGGUCUCCAACCUUUUCUAGUUGAGAUCUUUAAAAAAAAUGAAACACGUUGCCAGCUAUUCAAUUUUUUCUAUCUUUCAAAAUAGGCACAUUCUCCUCUUCUCCUCUCCCCUGCAACUGUUCCCCCAUGUCCUUGGUGUGCAAGAGAAAGUAGUGCACUAUGUUUUCUGUCAAUAUAAUUGGUAAAAUAAUAGUUAAUAAACAACUCUAGGGCCUCUUGAGUGGUGCAGCGGUUCAAGGCACUGCAUCGCAGUGUUGUGGCAUCACUACAGCCUGGGGUUUAAUCCCAGCCGUGACCAGGACAACCAGCUGUGAUCGGGAGUCCCAUUGGGCAGUGCACAAUUGGCCCCGCAUCGUCCGGGUUAGGGGAGGGUUUGGCUGGGGGGGGGGGGCUUUAUUUGGCUCAUCGCGCUCUAGUGACUCCUUUGUGGCGGGCUGGGCGCCUGCAGGCUGACUCGGUUGUCAGUUGAACAGUGUUUCCUCCAACACAUUAGUACAGCUGGCUUCCGGUUUAAGCGAGCCGCUGUUAAGAAGCGCGGCUUGGCAGGUCAUGUUUCGGAGGAAGCAUGACUCGACCUUUACCUUUGCAGCGAUGAGAGAAGAUAAUAAUCACGAAAUUGGAGAGAAAAAGUGAAAUUUUAAAAUUCAGUUUUAUAUUUUCCCAAAUGAUGUUUCCUCAGUUUUAAUUUUCCUGGUUUUAGAUUUGUUUUGUUUUUUCUCCAAACAAUCAAAUUGUUCAUAGAGAAACAACGGAAUUGGAUGUUCUGAGUCCAUGUCAAUGGUUAAAUCACAUCAAAAGACAAAACAUUUUUGGGUCUGGAGAAAAAUGAACAAAUACAUUUUUUUGCGUAACUUCCCUUUAGUUGUGCAUCUAGCGAGUGAGGAAUGCCCUGUCUAAUGUUCCGGUCUAGCGAUGCUUCUGUGCUGCUGCUGCUCAUUUCAUCGCAAAGUUUGCAAAUAACAAAUAAUGAUAAACUUCUGCCAGGUAAGCCAACUUUGCAAUUAAAAUUUAUUGAGAAUGUUUUGGGGAAAGUAUUUCAGUCAACUCACAAGACGGUUAUCACAUCAACUGUCUACACACGGAGUGAUAGACAAACACACGCACCACACAGACUGACAAGGGCAAUAUUUCUGGAAAUUAAUUGGCAGAUAUUGUGUUAGGUUUGGCUUUUGAAGCCAAUACUGGCUAACCAGGGGUGGUAUAUUGUCAAUGUUGUGUUGAUUAGAUAGUAGCUGGGAGCUUGCAAUGUCAGAUACUUGUGAGAUUUGUUUUUGACAGUUUGCGAUGGAACACAUGAAAUAUUGCAUAUCCUUUCGGAAUUGUUUGGCGAGCUACUCAUAGGUGGGCUGGUAGCUACUGGUAGCUGGCGAUCGACCUGUCAUAGACCCCUGGUCAAUAUGAUAUGUUUAGGUAUGUCUGCUUUCUAGUGGCUGCAAGAGUUACUGAGACUGUCUUAAAAUGUGAAUGUACAAAUUGGGGUAUCCUUCUUUCAAGGACUUUUCCUUAAAUUAAUAGGACAUCUUGGCAAGGGCAAUGGCUUUUAAAAUAAUUGAAUAAAAAGCAUGUUGUGAUAUUACCUAAUGCCCAUUGACUUUUUAUCCUGUGUAUCAUUAAAAUAUCUGCUUCGUGUUGAUACUUCCUAAGUGAUUCCACUUUACUUUUAGAGAGGUUGGGGGGUGGGCUGUAAUGCAUUAUCUGAGGUCAAGCGCUGUGCAUAACUCAGAGAUACCAUAAUGUACAGUAUGUGUCUUAAGUCCAGUUCAGAUACAACAGCCGAUAUGAAACAAGACGAGAACAAACUAGAUAGUUUUAUCAUGUUUUGUUGUACCAACAAAAAGACAGACAUGCAAGUAGAGAUCGUUUCCACGGUAACACUUUACAACAAUGUGAUUCAACUUUUCAAGAAAGUUACCACUUGUUGUAGCUAGGUGAUGUAGCAAACGAGUGUCAUGAAAUACAUGCACCAUAAACAGGGUACACUUUGUGACUUGUCAGAUAAAUAUCUGCAUGCUAUAGGAAUAGGGCCAGCUCUAAUCUUUUGGGGGACCUACUGUAUGUAUUUAACCUUUAUUUAACUAGGCAAGUCAGUUAAGAACAAGUUCUUAUUUACAUUGACGGCCUACCCCAGCCAAACACUAACCCAGACGAUGCUGGGCCAGUUGUGUGCCGCCCUAUGGGACUCCCAAUCACAGCCGGUUGUGAUACAGCCCAGGAUUGAACCAGGGUCUGUAGUAACACCUCUAGCACUGAGAUGCAGUGCCUUAGACCG